CAGCCGCCGCGGUAACACGAAGGGGGCUAGCGUUGUUCGGAAUUACUGGGCGUAAAGCGCACGUAGGCGGAUAUUUAAGUCAGGGGUGAAAUCCCGCAGCUCAACUGCGGAACUGCCUUUGAUACUGGGUAUCUUGAGUAUGGAAGAGGUUAGUGGAAUUGCGAGUGUAGAGGUGAAAUUCGUAGAUAUUCGCAGGAACACCAGUGGCGAAGGCGGCUAACUGGUCCAUAACUGACGCUGAGGUGCGAAAGCGUGGGGAGCAAACAGGAUUAGAGACCCCUGUAGUCCCUGUCUCUUAUAC
rnacentral:rRNA from 1 species